AGUGAACGCUGGCGGUAGGCCUAACACAUGCAAGUCGAACGGCAGCACAGUAAGAGCUUGCUCUUACGGGUGGCGAGUGGCGGACGGGUGAGGAAUACAUCGGAAUCUACUUUUUCGUGGGGGAUAACGUAGGGAAACUUACGCUAAUACCGCAUACGACCUACGGGUGAAAGCAGGGGAUCUUCGGACCUUGCGCGAGUGAAUGAGCCGAUGUCGGAUUAGCUAGGUGGCGGGGUAAAGGCCCACCAAGGCGAAGAUCCGUAGCUGGUCUGAGAGGAUGGUCAGCCCACCUGGGACUGGGGACCGGUCCAGACCCCUACGGGAGGGAGCAGGGGGGAAUAUUGGACAAUGGGCGCAAGCCUGAUCCAGCCAUACCGCGUGGGUGAAGAAGGCCUUCGGGUUGUAAAGCCCUUUUGUUGGGGAAGAAAAGCAGCAGGUUAAUACCCCGCUGUUCUGACGGUACCCAAAGAAUAAGCACCGGCUAACUUCGUGC
rnacentral:rRNA from 1 species